UGGGGAAUAUUGCACAAUGGGCGCAAGCCUGAUGCAGCCAUGCCGCGUGUAUGAAGAAGGCCUUCGGGUUGUAAAGUACUUUCAGCGGGGAGGAAGGGAGUAAAGUUAAUACCUUUGCUCAUUGACGUUACCCGCAGAAGAAGCACCGGCUAACUCCGUGCCAGCAGCCGCGGUAAUACGGAGGGUGCAAGCGUUAAUCGGAAUUACUGGGCGUAAAGCGCACGCAGUCGGUUUGUUAAGUCAGAUGUGAAAUCCCCGGGCUCAACCUGGAAACUGCAUCUAAUACUGGCAAGCUUGAGUCUCGUAGAGGGGGGUAGAAUUCCAGGUGUAGCGAUGAAAUGCGUAGAGAUCUGGAGGAAUACCGGUGGCGAAGGCGGCCCCCUGGACGAAGACUGACGCUCAGGUGCGAAAGCGUGGGGAGCAAACAGG
rnacentral:rRNA from 1 species